AUUAAUUGUCAUAUAUAUAUAUUUUGAUUUUAACAGCAACAACCCAGUUGUCCUUGGCCCCAACAACUCUAACCUUCCCAGAAUAUUUGGUAUAAUUGCGGAUGGUGAAAUUCAUGAAGCUAUUAAACACGAAGAUCCGUGCACCAAGCGGUUGGCUAACGUGGUUCGCCAAGUGCAGACAUCUGGAGGACUGUGGACAGAAUGCAUAUCACAGCUCAAUGCCGAUCAACAGGCAGCCAUACAGGAGCUCCUGAACUCUGCUUGAAGGGCCUUAAUUAUCAUCCGCAAGAAAACUAACUCCAAAUAAACGUUUACCCUAUCGUUUAGGUUUCUUUUGUUUCUUUUUUUUGAGUAAACCCAGAACUGUAGUGCGGGUAGGCCAUUCUUCUGCAACCUGCAGGCGGCGGCGGCAGGAAGAAGCAUUCUUUCAGGAGGGUGUUUAAAUCGGUUUCUAUCCCACCACAUGGAAGAAGUUUCCUGUAAACCCUACAAUAGCACUGAAGAGUAUUUUUCUAAUGGUAUAGGCCAUCCAUACGAUGGCGAAAGGGAAACAAGUUGCAUUUUCUCAGUAGACGUAAUGAAUUUACGAAAACAGCUUUAAGACCUUGUAUUCAGCAGUAGAUGUACGUUAUAACAGAUAAACGUUUCUCUACAUCUAGUGUUAAUUGUAUUAAUUGGAGUGUGAGUCUUUGUAGGGUAGAAAGCGUCCUUCUGCCCAACGAGUUUAACGGAUCACAGAGAUGAAGAACCGAAGAGAAACAUGGUGCAUGAAGACCUCAUUGAUCACACUUUCAGACUCCCAAAACCAACCUGUACAGUGACUCAAUGAGGAAAGCUGUUCGGCUUCCAGCCCUUGAAUGUGAAGUCUCUUUGGCAUGUCUGGCGGUAUCUCAUUCACUCCUCAAUAAAUGACAUUGGAAACACAAGAAGCCUGUGUAGAAGUUCA